CGUCGAUGGAGUAGCGUCCGCCGCUUAUGUUGCCCGAACCUUGGUCGCCCAUAACGGAGACGUAAAGGGCGGCUUUGCGUCCUUUCAGGGCGGACAAAUCCAUUUUUUUGACGGCGGCGCGGGACGAUGCGGCGACGAGUUCUUGUUCGACGGCAAAGCGUUUGCCGCCGCCGUGGGCGGGUAUGCCGGUCAGUGUGCCGCAGGCGGUGAGUACGAGGGGGAUGAGGAGGAGCAGGGUUUUCAUGGCAGGGUUUGUUUUGUUUUGAACGGGUUUAAGUGUAAAUGGAUUUUAAGGGUUUGUAAACNUAAUUGAAGAUGUGCAAGCAUCGGAUCGAAGCCCCGGUAAACGGCGGCCGUAACUAUAACGGUCCUAAGGUAGCGAAAUUCCUUGUCGGGUAAGUUCCGACCCGCACGAAUGGCGUAACGAUGGCCACACUGUCUCCUCCCGAGACUCAGCGAAGUUGAAGUGGUUGUGAAGAUGCAAUCUACCCGCUGCUAGACGGAAAGACCCCGUGAACCUUUACUGUAGCUUUGCAUUGGACUUUGAAGUCACUUGUGUAGGAUAGGUGGGAGGCUUGGAAGCAGAGACGCCAGUCUCUGUGGAGUCGUCCUUGAAAUACCACCCUGGUGUCUUUGAGGUUCUAACCCAGACCCGUCAUCCGGGUCGGGGACCGUGCAUGGUAGGCAGUUUGACUGGGGCGGUCUCCUCCCAAAGCGUAACGGAGGAGUUCGAAGGUUACCUAGGUCCGGUCGGAAAUCGGACUGAUAGUGCAAUGGCAAAAGGUAGCUUAACUGCGAGACCGACAAGUCGGGCAGGUGCGAAAGCAGGACAUAGUGAUCCGGUGGUUCUGUAUGGAAGGGCCAUCGCUCAACGGAUAAAAGGUACUCCGGGGAUAACAGGCUGAUUCCGCCCAAGAGUUCAUAUCGACGGCGGAGUUUGGCACCUCGAUGUCGGCUCAUCACAUCCUGGGGCUGUAGUCGGUCCCAAGGGUAUGGCUGUUCGCCAUUUAAAGUGGUACGUGAGCUGGGUUUAAAACGUCGUGAGACAGUUUGGUCUCUAUCUGCAGUGGGCGUUGGAAGUUUGACGGGGGCUGCUCCUAGUACGAGAGGACCGGAGUGGACGAACCUCUGGUGUACCGGUUGUAACGCCAGUUGCAUAGCCGGGUAGCUAAGUUCGGAAGAGAUAAGCGCUGAAAGCAUCUAAGCGCGAAACUCGCCUGAAGAUGAGACUUCCCUUGCGGUUUAACCGCACUAAAGGGUCGUUCGAGACCAGGACGUUGAUAGGUGGGGUGUGGAAGCGCGGUAACGCGUGAAGCUAACCCAUACUAAUUGCCCGUGAGGCUUGACUCU
rnacentral:rRNA from 1 species